rnacentral:rRNA from 1 species
AUUGAACGCUGGCGGCAGGCCUAACACAUGCAAGUCGAACGGUAACAGGAAGAAGCUUGCUUCUUUGCUGACGAGUGGCGGACGGGUGAGUAAUGUCUGGGAAACUGCCUGAUGGAGGGGGAUAACUACUGGAAACGGUAGCUAAUACCGCAUAACGUCGCAAGACCAAAGAGGGGGACCUUCGGGCCUCUUGCCAUCGGAUGUGCCCAGAUGGGAUUAGCUAGUAGGUGGGUUAACGGCUCACCUAGGCGACGAUCCCUAGCUGGUCUGAGAGGGUGACCAGCCACACUGGAACUGAGACACGGUCCAGACUCCUACGGGAGGCAGCAGUGGGGAAUAUUGCACAAUGGGCGCAAGCCUGAUGCAGCCAUGCCGCGUGUAUGAAGAAGGCCUUCGGGUUGUAAAGUACUUUCAGCGGGGAGGAAGGGAGUAAAGUUAAUACCUUUGCUCAUUGACGUUACCCGCAGAAGAAGCACCGGCUAACUACGUGCCAGCCGCCGCUGUAA